GACGAACGCUGGCGGCGUGCCUAAUACAUGCAAGUCGAACGCAGGGGGGACGGGGGAGUAACACGUGGGUAACCUGCCAUCAGAGGGGAUAACACUUGGAAACAGGUGCUAAACCGAUACGGAUGGAGGGACCCGGGGUGCAUUAGCUAGUUGGUGAGGUAACGGCUCACCAAGGCCACGAUGCAUAGCCGCCCGGAGAGGGUGAUCGGCCACACUGGCACUGAGACACGGCCCAGACUCCUACGGGAGGCAGCAGUAGGGAAUCUUCGGCAAUGGACGAAAGUCUGACCCAGCCACGCCGCGUGAGUGAAGAAGGUUUUCGGAUCGUAAAGCUCUGUUAUUGGAGAAGCGGUAUCUAACCAGAAAGCCACGGCUAACUACGUGCCAGCAGCCGCGGUAAUAC
rnacentral:rRNA from 1 species